rnacentral:lncRNA from 1 species
CUUCAGCGCGCUGCCUGCCUGCCCAGGGCCUUCCCGGAGAGCAGGUGACGGCGGCCUCCGGGCAUGGAGCUCGCGCUGACGAAAGGUUCUGGAAGCCGCCGUAAAAAGUAAUCAAGAAACGGGUGACAGGACUUUUCGUAAGACAUUUAAUUUUUACCCAGAGUAUCCGAAACAUUGCCGUGUCAAUCUCAGUGCGAUGGGAGACUGCCGGCCCCAAGGAGCUGCUCGUCCUUCUGCCGAGUUCCGGCCCGGACCCGCGGAGGAGGAGACCGCCGCGCCGGAGCUCGGACCUGACGUUUUUGUGAAGCACAGGGGGCGUGGGAGGGACCGGAUCAAUGCGGCACUCAACAAAACCUGUUUUUAAAAGAGUCGUGCUGUGUCGCCCAGGCUGGAGUGCAGUGACGCGAUCUCGGCUCACUGCAGCCUCCACCUUCCGGGCUCAAGCGAGCCUCCCGCCUCAGCCUCCUGAGUAGCUGGGAUUACAGGCACACACCUCCAGCUCGGCUGUUUUAUUUAUUUAUUUUUUUUUUGAGACGUAAUUUAGCUCAUGUUGACCAGGCUGGAGUGCAGUGGCGCGAUCUGGGCUCACCGCAACCCCCGCCUCCCGGGUUCAAGCGAUUUUCCGCCUCAGCCUCCUGAGUAGCUGGGGUUGCAGGCAUGCGCCACCACGCCCGGCUAAUUUUGUACUUAUAGUAGAGACGGGGUUUCUCCAUGUUGGUCAGGCUGGUCUCGAACUCCCGACCUCAGGUGCUCCGCCCGCCUUGGCCUCCCAAAGUGCUGGGAUUACAGGCGUGAGCCACCUCUCCAGGGCCAAAAGCCUUUUAUUGGAGUACUGGGUAACACAUUCAGAAGAGGGUGCAUAGCUUAGGCGCUCCGUGAAUUUUCACAAACUGAACAUACACCCAGGUAGCCAACACCCCCAGCAAGCCCCAGAAUCCCCUCAUGCUUGCUUUCUGCCACUAUCAAGCAGUUUGCUUUCUUUCAGAUUUUUAAGUUUUGAAAUAAUUAUUGAAAUGUACAGGGAGAAGUCUGGGUUGGUGGUUCUAACCUGUAGUCUCAGCUACUAGAGAGGCUGAAGGGGGAAGAUGGCUUUAGCCCUGGAUUUCUAGACUAGCCUGGACAACAUAGCAAGACCUCAUCUCUAUUUGUUUUUGAGACAGAGCCUCGGUCUGUCACCCAUGCUGGAGCGCAGUGGACCUCCGCCUCCCGGGUUCAAGUGAUUCUUCUUUCUCAGCCUCCCGAGUUAUUUGGGAUUACAGGAACAAGGUCUCACCAUGCUGCCCAAGCUGGUCUGAAAACUCUUGUCCUCAGGCAGUCCUCCCACCUCGGCCUCCCAAAGAUCUGAGAUUACAGGCAUGAGCCACCACACCUGGCCUUGGUUUUAAUUCCUGUCACAGUAUAUUAGUUUUCGCUGUUGUGUAUUGAUUGAUUGAGACAGGGUCUCGCUCUGUUGCCCAGGCUGGAGUGCAGGGGCAUGAUCCCAGCUCACUGCAACCUCCACCUCUUGGAUUCAAGUGAUUCUCCCGUCUCAGCCUCCCGAGUAACAGGAACCACAGGUGUGUGCCAGCACGCCUGGCUAAUUUUUUUUUUUUUUUUCUUGAGGUGGAGUUUCACUGUUGUUGCCCAGGUUGGAGUGCAGUGGCACAAUCUCAGCUCACUGCAACCUCUGCCUCCUGGGUUCAAGUGAUUCUCCUGCUUCAGCCUCACGAGUUGUUGGGAUUACAGGCGCCCGCCACCACGCCCAGGUAAUUUUUGUUUAGUAGAGACGGGGUUUCACCAUGUUGGCCUGGCUGGUCUCGAACUCCUGACCUCAGGUGAUCCACCCACCUCGGCCUCCCAAAGUUGUGGGAUUGCAGGCGUGAGCCACUGCGCCUGGCCUAAUUUUUCAAUUUUUUGGUGGAGAUAGGGUUUCACCAUGUUGGCCAGGCUGGAGUUUUGCCUGUUCUAGAAGCUUGUAUCAGUCAUACAACACCCCUUUGAGGAACCGUUUGAGGUGUGGCACGAUACAGCAAGUCAGCUGCCAAAGAGGGGCUUAGCCACAGGAAGUGCGUGCCCAGAACGGUAAAGGGGCUGUGGCCUUUCUUAUCAUCUCCACUCCCUGUCCCCCCCAUCACCUGCUCUUCGUGCUUUGUGAUAAUUCAGUGAGCUCAUACUCAUGACCUGUGUCCUCCAGCAUCUCCCGUGUCCCUCACAGCAGUUCUAUGAGGCUGGCUGCCCUGUUUGACAACUGAGGCCCGCAUCUUCCCCGGAAUCACCGACGUGUGGCUCUGAGCCCUGUCCCAGGGAUUUUCUCCAUCAGAGAAGAGGAGCACUUUGAGCUUUGAGAGGAGCAGCCCUCUGCAAGUGAAGUGGAAAAAAAGGAAGCAGGCGAGGAGGCCCAUCCAGACCCUCCCCCAAGACCCUUGCUGAAAUGGCUGGGAUGCGGCGUGCAGAAGCUCUCCUUUCCUUCACAGCCCCUGGCUUUCCAAGAGUCCCUGCCCACCCAGAUGCCCGCUGGCAGAUGCAGCCUCAUCUCAAGGACACUGCUUGCUGGAUAAAUCCCUCACCACCCUAGAGACAGCCCACGGUCCUGAGACAAGGAUGCGGGCCAGGCUUGUUGCACGUAAGCGCCUCCCGCAGAAACCAGUGAGGCCGGAGUUCCAGAGGAAAUGAUGUAGGGACAGAGGCAGAGGGCCUCCAGGAGGCACCAGCCCCAGAGUCUUCCCUAGAAUCAGACUUUAAGCACAAGCAGGGAGGGAAAGCACUUGAGCAGUGCCCGUCCCUGCAUACCUGGCCUCUGCUGGAACCCAUGCAGGGACAGGACACUUCUUUAUCAGCAAUCCUGUUCCUCUCCUGGGCAGCUUCAACCUGAACAUCCUCCUUCACCUUGAGCUAAAAUGGGUUUCUUGUCACCCUUGCCCAUCAAACCUGGCCUUGCCCUCAGGAACCACACAGGACAAGCCUAAUACUUCCUUCUUGUGGCAACACUUUAGCAAUUGAGACCUGGCUGUCAGGUCCUCCAAAUAAACAUUUGUGACUGUGAUGUUGACUUGCCGCUUCUGGGGACCUCUUCUCAUUUGAUCGGAGAAAGUUUUUCAGGGUUAAACCUACUUCUUUCCCCCAAGAAACUCUUCUUGUCAGGCUCACGCCUAUAAUCCUGGCACUUUGGGAGGCCAAGGCAGGAGGAUUGUUUGAGACCAGCCUGGGCAACGUAGGUAGACUAUGUUGC